UACGGAGGGGGCUAGCGUUGUUCGGAAUUACUGGGCGUAAAGCGCACGUAGGCGGCUUUGCAAGUCAGAGGUGAAAGCCCGGGGCUCAACCCCGGAAUAGCCUUUGAGACUGCAUCGCUUGAACAUCGGAGAGGUAAGUGGAAUUCCGAGUGUAGAGGUGAAAUUCGUAGAUAUUCGGAAGAACACCAGUGGCGAAGGCGACUUACUGGACGAUUGUUGACGCUGAGGUGCGAAAGCGUGGGGAGCAACAGG
rnacentral:rRNA from 1 species